UACUUGCAAUAUGAUUUGAUUACAUCCAGUUGUGAUUCAUAAGUUGUGAAUUCAAUUUACUUAUCCGAUCGUAAAAAAAAAUGAUUUGUGUAUGUUGGUUGAGAGUGCACGCUUAAUUUUCAUGCAUGAAUUUAAUGCUAGAAUAUAAGGGAGUUUCACCUAAUCGUUAUGAACUUAUAUUCACAAGUAGUGAAGGUUGCUAGUCA
rnacentral:lncRNA from 1 species